UACGGAGGAUCCAAGCGUUAUCCGGAUUCAUUGGGUUUAAAGGGUGCGUAGGCGGGCUUUUAAGUCAGCGGUGAAAGCUUCGAGCUUAACUCGGAAAUUGCCGUUGAUACUAUUAGUCUUGAAUUAAGUUGAGGUGGGCGGAAUGUGUCAUGUAGCGGUGAAAAUGCUUAGAUAUGACACAGAACACCGAUUGCGAAGGCAGCUCGCUAAAACUUUAUAUUGACGCUGAGGCACGAAAGCGUGGGGAUCAAACAGG
rnacentral:rRNA from 1 species